rfam:Ophiostoma piceae TAMH 11346 chromosome Tnknown scf07, whole genome shotgun sequence.
ACGUACGGCCAUAGACACUGGAAAGCACGGGAUCCCGUCCGCUCUCCCCUAGUUAAACCAGUGAUCGGCGGAUUAGUAGUUGGGUCGGUGACGACCAGCGAAUACCCUCUGCUGUACGUU